rnacentral:snRNA from 1 species
GUGUGUGUGUGUAUGUAUGUACUAAAAUUCGAAUGACACAGAUAUUAGCAUGGCCCCUGCGCAAGGAUGACACGCAAAUUCGUGAAGCGUUUCGUAUUUUA